AAGCCAUUGGCGAAGGGUAUCGCGUCCGCCGCAAAUUCAUGAAGGGUUUGAUACAUGCGGAAGGCCCGGGUUCGACUCCCGGCUGGCUCG